AAGUCGUAACAAGGUUUCCGUAGGUGAACCUGCGGAAGGAUCAUUAACACGUAGUACCUUUUGUCCUCUACCCGUACCGCUUGUCGCCACGAUUUGGAUCUUGAUGCACCCGUUUUCUUACAACCACCGCUGGAAAACUAUGUCUUCCCGCAAAAGUUACCGCUCGGGGGGCCUGAGAACCUUCCAGAGCUGGAAUACCCGAACAACUGUUAACAAUGGAUAUCUUGGCUCUC
rnacentral:misc_RNA from 1 species